UACGAAGGAUCCAAGCGUUAUCCGGAUUCAUUGGGUUCAAAGGGUGCGUAGGCGGUUUUGUAAGUCAGUGGUGAAAUCUCUCAGCUUAACUGAGAAACUGCCAUUGAUACUGCAGAACUAGAGUACAGAUGACGUUGGCGGAAUGUGUCAUGUAGCGGUGAAAUGCAUAGAUAUGACACAGAACACCGAUUGCGAAGGCAGCUGACGAAACUGCAACUGACGCUGAUGCACGAAAGUGCGGGGAUCAAACAGG
rnacentral:rRNA from 1 species